rnacentral:rRNA from 1 species
GCUUUAGUGGUGCAAGCUAACGCGUUAAGUCACACCGCCUGGGGAGUACGGUCGCAAGACUAGAAAUUCAAUGGAUUGACGGGGGGCCCCCCCAACGGGGGAACAUGUGGGUUUAUUUCAUGCCACGCGAAGAAACUUUACUGGCCUUGACAUACCUCUAACUUUCCUAAAAAGGAUUGGUGCCUUUCGGGAACUCUGAUACAGGUGCUGCAUGGCUGUCGUCAGCUCGUGUCGUGAGAUGUUGGGUUAAGUCCCGCAACGAGCGCAACCCUUUUCCUUAUUUGCCAUCACUUCGGGUGGGGAACUCUUAAGGAUACUGCCAGUGACAAACUGGAGGAAGGCGGGGGACGACGUCAAGUCAUCAUGCCCCUUACGACCUGGGGCUACACACGUGCUACAAUGGACGGUACGGUUGCUACACCGCGAUGUGAUGCUAAUCUCAUAAAACCGAUCUCAGUCCGGAUUGGAGUCUGCAACUCGACUCCAUGAAGUUGGAAUCGCUAGUAAUCGCGGAUCAGAAUGCCGCGGUGAAUACGUUCCCGGGCCUUGUACACACCGCCCGUCACACCAUGAGA